UGGCGAACGGGUGAGUAAUGCAUCGGAACGUGCCCAUCGAUGGGGGAUAACUGCGCGAAAGCGUUGCUAAUACCGCAUACGACCUACGGGUGAAAGCAGGGGACCGCAAGGCCUUGCGUCGAUGGAGCGGCCGAUGCCGGAUUAGCUAGUUGGUGAGGUAAAGGCUCACCAAGGCGACGAUCCGUAGCUGGUCUGAGAGGACGACCCAGCCACACUGGGACUGAGACACGGCCCAGACUCCUACGGGAGGCAGCAGUGGGGAAUCUUGGACAAUGGGCGAAAGCCUGAUCCAGCAAUGCCGCGUGUGGGAAGAAGGCCCUCGGGUUGUAAACCACUUUUGGCGGGAAAGAAAUGGUCUGUGCUAAUACCACGGAUUGAUGACGGUACCCGCAGAAUAAGCACCGGCUAACUACGUG
rnacentral:rRNA from 1 species